CACGUAGGGCGCGAGCGUUGUCCGGAAUUAUUGGGCGUAAAGAGCUCGUAGGCGGCUUGUCGCGUCGGAUGUGAAAGCCCGGGGCUUAACCCCGGGUCUGCAUUCGAUACGGGCAGGCUAGAGUUCGGUAGGGGAGAUCGGAAUUCCUGGUGUAGCGGUGAAAUGCGCAGAUAUCAGGAGGAACACCGGUGGCGAAGGCGGAUCUCUGGGCCGAUACUGACGCUGAGGAGCGAAAGCGUGGGGAGCGAACAGG
rnacentral:rRNA from 1 species